UAAUCAGGUUAGAUACCCUGUUAUACUUAAUAGAAAUUUGAUUAUACUUGAGUAGUAAUCAGUUAUGGUCUUGAAACUUAAAGAAUUUGGCGGUAUUUUAGUCUAGUUAGAGGAACCUGUUCUAUAAACGAUAAACCGCGAAUUAUCUUACUCUUUUUAGUAGAAUCAGUUUGUAUACCGUCAUUAUUAGAUAAUCUUUAUAAAGAAUUAUUAAAAUAAAUAGUUUUAAUAUAUUAGAUCAAGGUGCAGCUUAUAGAAGAGAAAGCAAUGGGUUACAAUAAUAUAAAUUUAUUACGGAGUUAAAGUGUAAGUGUUUUAAUAAAGGUGGAUUUAAUAGUAGUUUUGUUUUAAUAUGACAAAAUGAUAAAAGCUCUAGAAUAUGUACAUAUCGUCCGUCGCA
rnacentral:rRNA from 1 species